ensembl:lncRNA
CCCCCCUCCCCUCCCCUCCCCCUGCUCCUGCUACGUGCAGGGUAGGGCUGGGGCAGCACCAGCAGCAAUUAGCCCAGCUCAGCCACCCGUUACUGGAACCUUCGUGUCAACUCUGGAGCUGAUCCAGGAAACCACACCCAGAGUCCCGGAUGACUCAGCCUCACCUGCCCACUCCACACCUGCCAGCCCCAGUGACCCGAGCCCGGCCGGAGCGAGAGCCCCAGCGUCCCCUGACCCGUCCUCCUCGGCCCGACCUGAACUGUGUCUUCUCAGGACCCUGUGGAGUCACUCACCUGCCCGGCAUCCCUCUGAGGCGUCCGCAGUGCUCACCGCGUCUGCUCAGGUUCUCCAUUUGUUCGUGCUCAUUCACUUUUCCACUAGAACCUUUAACGUCUGACAACCUUUGUGUCCAGGAACGUGUAUCCAACCAGUAUCCAAGAACCUGGUUCUAUUGCUCUGUGCGGCCCCGUGGACUGAGGCGCUCCGGGCCGCCCUGCCCUUCACCGUCUGUGAGACCCCGUGGACUGAGGCGCUCCGGGCCGCCCUGCCCUUCACCGUCUGUGAGACCCCGUGGACUGAGGCGCUCCGGGCCGCCCUGCCCUUCACCGUCUGUGCAGCCCCGUGGACUGAGGCGCUCCGGGCCGCCCUGCCCUUCACCGUCUGUGCGGCCCCGUGGACUGAGGCGCUCCGGGCCGCCCUGCCCUUCACCGUCUGUGAGACCCCGUGGACUGAGGCGCUCCGGGCCGCCCUGUCCUUCACCGUCGCCCAGGGUUUGCUCAAGUUCACGUCCACUGAUGGCAUCUGACCGUCUCAACCUCCGUCGCCUGCUUCUCCUCCCGCCUUCAAUCCUUCCCAGCAUCAGGGUCUUUUCUAAUGAGUCGGCUCUUCACAUCAGGUGGCCAAAGUGUUGGAGCUUCAGCUUCAGCAUCAGUCCUUCCCGUCAAUAUUCAGG